GCCUCGGUGGCGAAAUUGGUAGCCGCAGCGGACUUAAAAUCCGCCGCCUGUAAUGGGCUUACGGGUUCGAGUCCCGUCCGAGGUACUA
rnacentral:tRNA from 1 species